CUACCGUUAGUUCAGUUGGUAGAGCAAAGGACUGUAGUUAUUACCAAAUCGGUAUUCCUUAGGUCACCGGUUCGAGCCUGGUACGGUAGA
rnacentral:tRNA from 1 species